AGAGAGGAACGACAGCUGGCAAGGUAGCCGCACUCGUGUUCGUCACAAUACUGUGGCUCAUGCUGGUCGCUGGAGCGAGCACCUACUACUUUAUUGAGUCCGAGUUAAACGAUACAUCACCAAGGCAAGGCGCUGCACGGCUAUUAAGUAAUGGGCUGGAAGCAAUUUACAACGCAACACAUCAUCACUGAAGUCUAUAAAGUCACUUGUCUUUUUUU